UAAUGUAAUGUUGUUUAACAAAGAAGUAAAUAAUGUGUUCAUGCCUCAAAACAAACGUAGACAGUUUAGUGACAGAGGUUCUUCAACAAAAACAAUACUUGUCCUUAACACUAAAUGUAGGAAGUAUCUUCAGUUUUACAUCUCUCCAAAUAUGAUCUGUUGUUUCCAGUUUUUUAACUAAAACACAGAAGCUAAUUUUACCCAAUCCAUUUUCAGAUGUGUGAUGUAAGAUCGAUCUAUCAGUGAACGGCAUUAGCUCCAGUCCACACUCCAGACCAGAUGGUGGUGGUAAUGCUGAACUGAAAGUUUUUUUGAAAAGUGCCAUAAAAACAAGAUGGCACUUUUCCCGGCAUCAUCGUGAGCUGGAGAGGAGAAGAGAUGCUGUUCAAAUUUGCCAUUUUUACUCGCAUAAUAUUGCCUUAAAAGUAUAGAGAGCCUUGAUAAUAGUUAGUAGUUUUGGUAAAUUCAAGCUGGUUACGUCCUAGUCCAAGUUAAACAACAACACAACAGAACAAGAACUGGAUGCAAAUGAAAUGUGGGCCACAAAAGGAGCCUGAAGGGACGAAGGCUAACGUGUUGCUAGCUGGUGGUAAGUUUGCUUCAAAAUGCUAAUUAUCUUUGUUUAAUUAUAAACAGUGCAGCAUAUAUAUAAACAAACUUUGUUUCAGAAAUAGAUAUUUUAACAAAUGUUAUGAUUAUAUUUUUAUAACAAUCAUUCAUCAUCAUGUUAUAACUGCAUGGAGGCUCUGUGUGUUGACACCUAAUAUAGUUUUCUAGAUAAACUCAACCUGGAUUUAAUUAAGCUCAGUAUGCCAAAGAGACUUUGAUAAUCACUGGUUUUAUCUAAAACAUAUUUUUACAGUAAGAAAAUGAAGAUGAAAGAGGAAGCCAGGGAUCAGAAAUUAGAAAACCUAAAGACUUUGCUGUCUCAGAGGCUCUGGCUCCACCAGAUCACCAACCAGUUCUGAGGAUGAAGCUCCAUAUCUUCAUAGGCUUUCAGGGCCCUGAGAUGGACUGGUGACCUGUCCAGGGUGAAUCCCGCCUCUUAUCUGAUGACUGCUGGACAUGGGCACCACCAGCCCCCCUACCAUCCUUCAAGGCUCAGUGUGUUCAGAUCAUGGAUGGAAAGAUUUUAAGGCAAAGAAGUCACCUAGAAUAUUUUUUCACCCAGGCAUCUGGUCCCAAUCAUCAGACUAAUUCUGAUGCCACAUACAAAGCGAGUCUACAAUGUCCUAAAAUUGUUUCUGUAAAGUGCAAUGGAUGGGAAUGUUCUGUCAUUGAUCCUCACUGUUCUUAGGAAGGAGAAAUGUCAGUUUGUCUGGAGUAAUACUGGAAUACUGUGGCAUUGAAUUAAAACAAUAUUUUACAAUAAAGUGUACCAAUUUUUUGUAUUGUGCUAGUUUUUAUAAGCAUAUCUGUAAACUUAAUAUAUUUGCAGUCUGUGAUGGUAUAUUAACAAUUUACUCUUGAAAAAUGUGAAUAUAUUGAAUACACAUUGUAUUUGUUUCUCCUGGAAAGUGUGUUGCAAUUGAUCCUUCUGUGUUCUGGUAGCCUGAUGUGUUUGCAGUACUGUAGU